rnacentral:rRNA from 1 species
UACAUGGGGUGCAAACGUUGCUCGGAAUUAUUGGGCGUAAAGCGCACGUAGGCGGUCCGUUAUGUCGGACGUGAAAGCCCUCGGCUCAACCGAGGAAGUGCAUCCGAAACUGGCGGGCUAGAGUACGAAAGAGGGUCGCGGAAUUCCCGGUGUAGAGGUGAAAAUUCGUAGAUAUCGGGAGGAACACCGGUGGCGAAGGCGGCGAUCUGGGUCGAUACUGACGCUGAGGUGCGAAAGCGUGGGGAGCAAACAGG